rnacentral:rRNA from 1 species
GACCUUGAAAUACCACCCUUUAAUGUUUGAUGUUCUAACGUUGACCCGUAAUCCGGGUUGCGGACAGUGUCUGGUGGGUAGUUUGACUGGGGCGGUCUCCUCCUAAAGAGUAACGGAGGAGCACGAAGGUUGGCUAAUCCUGGUCGGACAUCAGGAGGUUAGUGCAAUGGCAUAAGCCAGCUUGACUGCGAGCGUGACGGCGCGAGCAGGUGCGAAAGCAGGUCAUAGUGAUCCGGUGGUUCUGAAUGGAAGGGCCAUCGCUCAACGGAUAAAAGGUACUCCGGGGAUAACAGGCUGAUACCGCCCAAGAGUUCAUAUCGACGGCGGUGUUUGGCACCUCGAUGUCGGCUCAUCACAUCCUGGGGCUGAAGUAGGUCCCAAGGGUAUGGCUGUUCGCCAUUUAAAGUGGUACGCGAGCUGGGUUUAGAACGUCGUGAGACAGUUCGGUCCCUAUCUGCCGUGGGCGCUGGAGAACUGAGGGGGGCUGCUCCUAGUACGAGAGGACCGGAGUGGACGCAUCACUGGUGUUCGGGUUGUCAUGCCAAUGGCACUGCCCGGUAGCUAAAUGCGGAAGAGAUAAGUGCUGAAAUCAUCUAAGCACGAAACUUGCCCCGAGAUGAGUUCUCCCUGACUCCUUGAGAGUCCUGAAGGAACGUUGAAGAC